AUUGAACGCUGGCGGCAGGCCUAACACAUGCAAGUCGAGCGAGCGGCGGACGGGUGAGUAAUGUAUGGGGAUCUGCCCGAUAGAGGGGGAUAACUACUGGAAACUGUAGCUAAUACCGCGUACCAUAGGAUGAGCCCAAGUGGGAUUAGGUAGUUGGUGGGGUAAAGGCUCACCAAGGCGACGAUCUCUAGCUGGUCUGAGAGGAUGACCAGCCACACUGGGACUGAGACACGGCCCAGACUCCUACGGGAGGCAGCAGUGGGGAAUCUUGCGCAAUGGGGGAAACCCUGACGCAGCCACGCCGCGUGAAUGAAGAAGGCCUUCGGGUUGUAAAGUACUUUCAGUCGGGAGGCGUUACCUACAGAAGAAGCACCGGCUAACUCCGUGCCAGCCGCCGCGGUAAUAC
rnacentral:rRNA from 1 species